rnacentral:rRNA from 1 species
AGUGAACGCUGGCGGUAGGCCUAACACAUGCAAGUCGAACGACAGCACAGUAAGAGCUUGCUCUUACGGGUGGCGAGUGGCGGACGGGUGAGGAAUACAUCGGAAUCUACUUUUUCGUGGGGGAUAACGUAGGGAAACUUACGCUAAUACCGCAUACGACCUACGGGUGAAAGCAGGGGAUCUUCGGACCUUGCGCGAUUGAAUGAGCCGAUGUCGGAUUAGCUAGUUGGCGGGGUAAAGGCCCACCAAGGCGACGAUCCGUAGCUGGUCUGAGAGGAUGAUCAGCCACACUGGAACUGAGACACGGUCCAGACUCCUACGGGAGGCAGCAGUGGGGAAUAUUGGGCAAUGGGCGCAAGCCUGAUCCAGCCAUACCGCGUGGGUGAAGAAGGCCUUCGGGUUGUAAAGCCCUUUUGUUGGGAAAGAAAAGCAGCAGGUUAAUACCCCGCUGUUCUGACGGUACCCAAAGAAUAAGCACCGGCUAACUUCGUG